AGUCUACACGUGCGCGAGUCGCAGGGUAGUACGAAACCCGAAGGCGCAACGAAAGUGAACCUUUUCUUACGAAUCGGUAGGUGGGAUCCCGGACUUUCGGCAACGAAGGAAUGGGCGCACCACCGGCCUGUCUCGGCCGCGACGUCGGCGAGGCGGAGCAAGAGCGUACGCGUUGGGACCCGAAAGAUGGUGAACUAUGCCUGAGCAGGAUGAAGCCAGAAGAAAUUCUGGUGGAGGUCCGCAGCGAUUCUGACGUGCAAAUCGAUCGUCAAACUUGGGUAUAGGGGCGAAAGACCAAUCGAAA
rnacentral:rRNA from 1 species